CAAGCUUCUCUGAACGCGUGCAAAGCUUGCCCUCCCACACUGACCCUGGUCUGAUGUGGGUUAGGUGUGCUCCACGUGGGGAGGGUUUCUGGGCAGCGUGUCAGCCCUGCGGGGGCAGGUGGGGAACGCAAGGCAGCUCCGCUCCGAGCACUGCAGCUCGAGCACUGGGUCUCCUGCUCUCACCCCCUCGCGACCUCGUGCCGCCUCGUGCAAGCCUGGAGCUCCGCCUGCCUGCGCUGUCGGCAGCAUCUCAGGAGCCCCGACUUCUGCUCCCAUCUCGCUCCCCUCUCCGCAGGCUGUCAACAACCGCCCCCCCCGCCCCCCCCCACUCUGCUCCUGGGGCGCCUCUCCGUCAGCGUCAGCGCCCAGCGCCUUCCACCUGAUUCCGAGUGAAAAAUUUAUCCUCAAGUGGGGUGCCAAGGAUGCUGUUCAAAUUUGGGGCUCCUGUUGGUGUUUAAAAUGUAUACAUCUGGGGAUCCCUGGGUGGCGCAGCGGUUUGGCGCCUGCCUUUGGCUCAGGGCGGGAUCCUGGAGACCCGGGAUGGAAUCCCACGUCGGGCUCCCGGUGCAUGGAGCCUGCUUCUCCCUCUGCCUAUGUCUCUGCCUCUUCUCUCUCUCUCUCUGUGUGACUAUCAUAAAUAAAUUUUAAAAAAUUAAAAUGCA